rnacentral:lncRNA from 10 species
GCACAUGCUCAUAAAUGCCCUCUCCAAAAUACACACACACACCCCCAAGAAAGGUGAGAUACAAAUACACACUCCUCCCACACAGAAACAUGCAUGCUCAUUCACUCUGGCAGAAACCCUGAUCACACUUACGCUCCUGCACUCAGAUCUAGGGAGUAGAAAAUGGGCCAAGCCAACUCCAAAGACAGCUCAUAGUUUCAUUUUCAUCUCCUCACCCCCUUCCCAGGGGAGCGCUGAGCAGGGAGCCCUCUAGAAUCCCCCCAGCACCCAGCGCCAAGGCCCAACCAACCCCCACGCUCUGCCUCCCAGAGAUUUUGCUUCCCCCCGCCCCGACCACUCAACAAGUACUUACUGAAAUCAAACAAAUGCAAUGUGUGGGCCUGGUUUGAACCCCAAUUCAACAGAUGGGGAUAUUUGAAUGCUAGACAUUGGAAAGAAUCAUUAAUCUGUCCAGGUGUGAGGACUGCUUUGUGGUUAUGUUUUACAAAGUCUGUUUCUUUAGAGAUAACACACUGAGGUAUUUAUGGCAAUGAUAUGUUGUCUCUGAUGCUUUAAAAUAAUACAGUAGGCCAGGCGCAGUGGCUCACGCCAGUAAUUCCAGCACUUUGGGAGGCCAAGGUGUGUGGAUCACGAGGUCGGGAAAUCAAGAACAUCCUGGCUAACAUGGUGAAACCCCGUCUCUACUAAAAAUAAAAAAAUAAAAUAAAUUAGCCGGGCGUGGUGGCGGGCGCCUGUAGUCCCAGCUACUCGGGAGGCUGAGGCAGGAGAAUGGCAUGAACCCGGGAGGUGGAGAUUGCAGUGAGCUGAGAUCACGCCACUGCACUCCAGCCUGGGCGACAGAGCAAGACUCUGUCUCAAAAAUAAAAAUAAUAAUAACAAUAAUACAGUGGAGGCCGGGUGAGAUGGUGCACAGCUGCGAUACCAGCACUUUGGGAGGCCAAGGCCAAUGGGUCACAUGAGGUCAGAAGUUUGGGACCAGCUUGGGCAACAUGGCGGAAAACUUGUUUUGUAUUUUCUCUACUAAAAAUACAAAAAUUAGCCCGGCAUGGUGUCCUGUGCCUGUAAUUCCAGCUGUUUGGGAGGCUGAGGCAUGAGAAUCGCUUGAACCCAGGAGGCAGAGGUUGCAGUGAGCAGAGAUCAGGCCACUGUACUCCAUGAUCUCACUCCAGAGUAAGACCCUGUCUCAGAAAACAAAAUAAUCCCACAGGAAGUGGAUAGCAGUGUCUAUGAAAACUGUGGCCACUAAUUGAUCACUGCGGACGGUGAGAGAUGGGUAUGUAACAUUCUUUACACUCUUCUCUCUACUUUUGAGUAUGUUUGAAAUUUUUCAUAAUAAAAAGUUAAGGCCAGGUGUAGAGGCUCAUGCUUGUAAUCCUAGCACUUUGGGAAGCAGAGGUGGGAAGACAGCUUGAGCCCAGGUGUUGGAGACCAGCCUGGGCAAUAUAGCGAGACAUCCGUCUCCACAAAACAUAGAAAAUUUAGCCAGGCAUGGUAGUGUGCUCCUGUAGUCCCAGCUACUCGAGGACGCCCAGGAGAGAGGAUCGCUUGAGCUUGCGGGGUGGAGGCUGCAGUUCCACUGCACUCCACCCUGGGCAACAAAGCGAUACCUUGUCUCCAAAAAAAAAAAAAAAAGUUAAAAUAUGUACACUUACUGUGAGCACUACUACGAUUGAGGCCCUGGGGGUACCACAGAGUAUCAGAGUAGUCCUGC